AGUUUUGCCAGCUCCUUUUGCCUAAAUAUAGUCAUCAACAUUCGGUAUUUGUUGGUGGUCUCCCAUUCAAGUACUAACCUUGCUUAGCUUCCAUGAUCAUACAAUAUCUGAUGCCACUAUUCUGUGGAUAUUUUCCUUUAGCACACACAUUUCUGAAUGGGCAUUUAAUGGCAAACCAGAUUACAAAAUAACAAGAAGUGUGGAUAUAGCUGUGCCAGUGACUUCCUGUUCAUUUUUGAGAUUGACAGGUUCGGAUGGGCAAGCUUGUACAAAUCUCUGGACCCCAGAAAACAAUUUAUAUCUCAGCUAAUCACAAAAUCUGUUUUUUCCCAUUUCUACAGAAUCACAGAUGGAGGUGGACUGAUGAAUCCGUCUACAGUUAUAAUGCCUGGUACAAACACAAAUCAAAGAACGGUAGCCAUAAUGAAUACUGUGUGGAGUUGAUUCUAAGUUCAACCUUUAAAGAGUGGAACGAUGUUUCGUGUCGAACUCUUAAUACUUACGCCUGCAAGUACGAACUCUAAGGGAGAUGGCAGUUUCUAGCGAAGCUUCCUUGAAUGUUGAACGUUUGGAUCAACUGGCUUCAGAUGCUGUUACCUCUUCCCAGUCCAGCAAGCAAUCUAUCUACACCUUCUUCCAAAAGUACCAUCGGGGAAUUUGCUCCCUUUGAACCUGUGGUCUGAUGCUCAGCAGAAAAUUAAUAAACUCCCUCUCAUGCAUACA